rnacentral:lncRNA from 10 species
CAGGGGAAGAAAAGUACUUGGUGAUCUCAGCGAAAGAUGUCUUUAACUGCUAAGCUGCUUUUUCCAACUGGCAGAAGCCCUUGAGAAGAGUUUAUUAAGAAUGAAGGAAAAAAAUAAUCCCUGUGUAGUUUACACAACUGUUCCUAAAAUUCAUCCCCCACCCAUGCAUUAAGCAGUACCAUGUGCCGAGAGCCGUUCUCAGCCUGGGGGUACAGCCCUAAACAAGUGCCCACCGUCCCGGCCCUUUGGAAGCUGCAUUCCACGGGGACAUCUGCAGACCACAGGGAAUGAUGUACGCCUUGAACCGAACCAGUCAGAAGAAAAAGGAGGUGGUUGACUUUGAGUUGAGUUAUUUUCCAACCUCAAGCCUUCAACAUCACUUACCCUGUCUCAUAAGGGAAACCUGGCUGUCCUCAAAACCAGCAUUCAAGAUUUAAAAUAAAUGUUAAAAACAAAA